UUUUUUUUUUUUGUGACAACUGGAGCAUGACAAUGUGAUAAGCUUAAUUUGGAACACAAAAUGCAGUAGCAAAUCCAAAAACUUCUACAGCAGAUACGUGGAUCAUCUUCAGGGAGACAGAUGCUUGAUGCUGCAACACUUUUUGUUUAGGAAUAAAGAAACUAAAGAUGCCAGCUAUUAUGCAUGUGUAUGCAUCAGAACCAGGCAACAGAGCAGCAGCCAUGAACACUUGAACUGCGAAGUCAACUGCUCCACCAGCACGGCAGCACGUAGCAACCAGCAUCGGCAAAGCUCUCCUUAUCCCAUUUCAUAGCUUGCUCACAGACGUCGUGAUCUGGACCCAAACAUUGAACUAGGCACUCGUGCACAUCAUUUUGCCGCUGACCUGAACAACAACAAAGGAAAAGGCAUCGGCCUGUCAUGCCGAUAGGUGGUUUUGUUGCAGCAGCACAGCACCUUCUAUUCUCGCUAUGGAUACUGCCAACGACGCCAUUUCUUCAGUAAAUGCAGUUAAAUAGCCAGGCAUUCCAACUGAAGAUGUCACUGCCGUCUACAUUUUGUAUCAUUGCCAUUUAACACGAUUCAAAUCUCCAUAGAGUCCAUCAAUAGGCAAGCCAGAAGCCCCCUGCAUACAGCACAUAAAACAUUCUGGGUAAGUAAAUAAGAAAAGUUUUUGCCAAGCAUCUUAACUUAUGCAGAACAACUCAUGUUUCCAGUGUAGUAUAACAGGUUAAUCACCAUUUGCCAAGCGAUUGCAGAACUAAUUUCACAAGAAAGCUUACAAAUCCUUACAGGUUCAGCUCCGCCAAAACCAAAGGUGUAGUUCCUGAGAUGAAUGCGCGACGAGAACGACAGGAGAACCUCACCGUUGAGCUCCGACCAGGGUCCACGGCUUCACGCCAAGGCACCUCGCCGCCGCCGGAACAUGGAUGCAUGAUUUGGCCGAGGAAAGCACGAGGAGACGCAGAUGCGACCGGAAGAUCCCCUCCCAAGACCGGCCGCAGCUCUCCGGCAAGACCAUGACGAUGGCGGCGAGGGCGGCGGUUGUCGGCGGAUGUGAAGGGGGCAACGGCCAUGGGGGAAGAGCGACUGAAAGAUGGCAGGCACAAAAAUAGGGAGGAAUUUGCAAAAUGCCAGGUCCGGUAUUGGGGGGUUUAUUGUAAAUAAUCGGAUCGCGAUUAAUAAUUGCGAUCCAAAUAAGGGUUGUUUAUGUAAAUAAUCGGAUCGCGAUCAUUAAUCGCGAUCCGAAUCAGGGGGUUCUAUGCAAAAGUGUUCCGAUAAGGUGCCAUGUUCCACGGCCGCAUCGAUCCCCUUCCGGUCGCCGGCGGCGGGAGGAGUCGCGCGGGUGGAGGCUUGUGGAGACGCUUGUGGGAGGCAGCAGCGAGAUACGCGAGGGCACCGGCGGGGCGGCACACCCGCCGCUGACUGCGGGCUUGCGGCGAUGCCGCCGCUCUCAAUCGCCGCAACAGAAGACUCCGGCGACGAUCUGGUCAGCGUCGCCUCCCUCCCCUUUCCAUCACCAACCCCUCCUGUUCCCCCUUCCGAGAAAUUAUCCGCGGCAAGCGUGUGCAUCCGCGGCAGCUGCUAAUGGCGACAUGACAGCGCGAUUGCAAGUUCAAUCAUUCAGGACCUACAUAUUUGCAGGAACACGUGGUGAUCGAGGACGCUUCGCUGCGAGCGAGCACCCAAUGCAAAGGUCCACGGCUGGGAGACACGGCACGCCUCUCAAUUGAUCCACCGGAUCGGAAUGCUUGGGAACCUGGAGCUGGAGGUGAGCCAAGUCAACUAUCUGUUCGUUUCUCCACCGGCAACUUGCAGCCUUGCAGGUUUGAUUAACACAUCUCACGAUCUGGACCAGAUGCUAGUCUCGACGGCCCUUCACCCGUGCAGGCGAGAUUGCUACCCAUAAUGCAGACAUGACAGCCUCGUAAUCAAGAUCGAUGAGCGAUGAGAUUCUUGGGAGGUGGCUUCGGUUGCAGCGCAUGAGCACUUGAGUACACAUGAGAAUUAUUCUUGUUGUCUGCUGGUUCAGCUGGGCAAUUGCCUCCACCUCUUUUUCGCUAUAUAAACAAGGAAGCCGAAGCCCGGAAGACACCAUUGCAGCAGCUUGCCUUCGAUCUGUUUUCUCUCAUACUCCCAGUAGCUUCAGAGCAUCAAUUCCAAGGAUGGCCUGCCACCUGAGAUCUGUGAGUGUGCCUUCGAGCCCUCGCUCCAAUGAAACCAGUGUUGAGGAACAGCUACAGAGCUUGAAGGCAACCGUCUCUUCGCCUUCAGCGACCAUCGAAACCAUGGUUGGUGGUCUGAGCAAGCUCGGGAGCAUCUAUGACCGCAUCGAUGAGCUGCUCACAUGCUUACCCAGCAGCCAGAGGAAGGCGGUGGAGGAGGAGCUCGAGCGCUCCCUCGUCCUGCUCGACCUCUGCAGCGCCGUGCAAGAGAGCUUUGUGGAGCUCAAGACCAGCGUCCAAGAGAUGCAAUUGGCUCUCAAAAGAGGAGAUGAUGCUGCUCUUCAGACCAGGGUUCAGUGUUACUCACGCUCAGCCAAGAAGGCACAGAAGCUGUUCAAGAAGAUCAACAAGAAGACUGCUUCUGACAUGGAAGGCUGCAGGGUGAUCAAGCUGAUUGCUGAAGCGAGAGAGACUGCCGUGUCAAUCCUUGAAUCGACAUUGAAUCUCCUCUCGAAGCAAAUCACGAUGCCAAGUUCCAGCAAGUGGUCACUCGUCUCCAAGUCGUUCCAAAAGAAGAGAGUUGUGUGCGAGGAGGAGCAAUUGCAAGGGUUGGAGCUGGACAUUGUUGAUCUUGAGAGUGGAGUUGGGGCUUUGUUCAGGACAUUGAUCCAGAGCAGAGUUUCUCUUCUCAAUACUCUUAGCUUGUAGACAGAUCAUACAACAAUUCUGACCCCUUGCGAUUAGCAUCCGCCUUUUAGAGGAUCUGCUGAUCUAGAAGCAAAUUUUUGAUGUACAUAUAUAUGAAAGGAAGUGUACAGAAAAUUAGAUAAUGAAGAAGCAAAGUUUUUGAUCCAUUUCCUGUGACCUUUCUCUUGUGAAGAAUUUUAUGGGAGUUUCUGUUUGCCUAAUUUUUUGUGCAUCAUAUAAAGGGAAUCAAGACAAUACAUAAAAUUUAUACUGUUUUUCUCACCAUUAUUACAUAGUUAUAGAAAUACAGGUUGUUCAGUCAGUGCUCACAAUUAGUUGAGUCGGUCAUGAUAUUCUUAUUCACAUGAGCUGUGCCUCAACAGCAAGCACAAGAUCCUUUAUAGUGGAUCUUGCUCUCCAUGCAUAAACAUGCCAGCUCCAAACCACCAGUGCUGAUCUCUUAGUUACUGAUGAGUGUUAAUCCCUAGGAAAAUAAAUACAUAUGGAUUUCUUAAUGUUGUAUAUCUCAGGAAAUUAUACUCGCUAUGUACUUCAGUCUAUUUAUGAAUAACCUGAUCAUCCAAAAUAAAUUAUCUAACAAUUUUUAUGAAUGAUGCAUAGUAAAUUCGUAUAGGCAACUGUUUAGCAACCAGAUAAGAGAUAAUGUAUCCAGUAGACUGAACUUUUAAUUUUUUAUGAUGAUUAUUGCUGCUGCCACAGGAGCACAAAAUACACUAGUGAUGCCACAAUAUUAUACGACACGUAUGAGGAUCAUCUUGAGAAUUGAGAUUGCCAAAGAUGCUACACGCUGCAAUUAAACAAAAAAAAACACGGCAGCAAUACUGCAUGAGGGUUCUUAAGAACCAGGAGACAGUCUAGCAGGCAUGACCACAUGAGCAAUGAAGUCAACUGCUGCCUCCAACACUCACCAGCAUUCAGCAACAAGCAUCGGAGACAGCUCUUCAGCUCCUAUUUCAUAGCUUGCCUCAACCAUGUCAUGAUCUGGAUGUAACAUAAACUACUCACUCGUGCACACCAAAUUGCCUCUUGCCUAAACAAACAGGCAAACAUAAAGCAUCAGCCUGUCAUGCAGAUCGGUGGUUUUGUUGCAGCUGCAAAGCACCUCCCAUACAUGAGAUUCCUGUUGUCGAUACCAUCAACGGUGCCAUCUCUUCAUGUUGUUUGGUUAUAUAAAGAGGCGAACUAUAGCCUAGUUGUCACCAUGGAAGCAAUUCUAGAGAACAAGAGAGCACCACAAUUUCCACUACUACCAUGGCUUACCACCUCAGGUCUGCUAGCGUACCUUCCAGCCCUUGCUCCAACGAAAUCGACGUUGAUGAGCAGCUCCAGAGCAUGAAGGCAACAAUUUCCUCAUCAUCUAGCACCAAUGGAACCAUGUGCGAUGGUUUCAGAAAGCUUGGAGACAUCUACAACUACAUCGGAGAGCUUGCAUGCUCACCCAGCAGCCAAGUUACACGGCAGAGGAAAGCAGUGGAGCAGGAGCUGGAACGCUCGCUUGUGUUGCUCGAUCCCUGCAACACCAUGCAAGAGAGCUUUGGAGAGCUCAAAGAAAACAUCCUGGACAUGCAGCUGGUUCUCAAGAGAGGAGAUGAUGCAGCUGUCCAAGUCAUGAUCCAGUCCCACAUCCGAUUGGCAAAGAAGGCACAGAAACAGUUCAAGAGGAUCAGCAAGAAAUUUGAUAUAUUUGAUCAGGAAAGCUACAAGGUGGUCAAGCUGUUGUCUAAAGCCAGGGAGAUUGCUGUCUCCAUGCUAGAGUCCUCGCUGUAUCUGUUGACGAGGCAAAUUGCAACGCCAAGUUCUAGCAAGUGGUCUCUGGUCUCCAAGACAUUCCAGAAGAGAAGAGUUGUUUGUGGAGAGGAGCAAUUGCCGGAGUUGGAGUUGGACAUUGUUGAUCUUGAGAGCGGAGUUGAGGCUUCUUUGUUCAGGACAUUGAUCCAGAGCAGAGUUUCUCUUCUGAAUGCUCUUUGCUUGUAGAUAGAUCAUACAACAAGUCUGAUCCCCUGCAAUCAGCAUCCGCCUUUUAGAGGAUCUGCUGGUUACGAAACAAUCUUGAUGUAUAUAAUAGUGUACAGAAAAUACUCAACAAAAUGAAAGGAAGUUUUGAUUCAUUUCAAGUUGUCAGUCCUACACUUAUCCUUAAUCCUUCAUUUGAAGUUUGAUCGGUAAAAGGAAGUAAAUUUACUCAAAAGAUGCUCACUAUUAUUGGCAACCAUAAAAAUUUAGUAGAAAGUUCAUGUCUGUAAAUGAGAUGAUCACUGCUAAUUCACAUGGGAUGUGGCUCAACAACAGGCACAAGAUCCUUGUAAAGUGGAUCAUGCUCCCAUAACUCAUAGCAUGCCAGUUUUAUCCAUGAGAUUUGAGCUAACAAUUCUUAAUUGUUCAAAAGUCAAAUGGAAUGACACGAAGGGCAUAUAUGACAGCAGCAAGCAUACUAGAGUAAGCUGCCAUGCUGCUUCAUGCUGCCAAUACUUGAAACAUGACAAUGUGAUUCAGUUAGACCUAAUGGGAAAAAAUAAAAAAAUAACCUAGUGUGUUCAUCAUCUUGAGAUUGCAAAACUCACAUUCCAGCGAUGCCAACAGGACAGCUCUUAUUCUCCCAUUUCGUUUCAUGCUCAGCAAUACCUUGGCUCAUGUGCACAAGUUUGCUACCAGUAACUAGGACAUGAUAGCCUGAUAUGGUUGUCUAGAUGCCUUGCACGCUUGGUUGGGAUAUGAUAGAAGAGCAUCGCAUUUUGUUGCAUCAACAGAGUACCUCAUUAUCAGUAAGAUCAUAUCUGUCCACAAGGCCAACAAUGACACUUCUUCUCCUUGUUUCAAUAUAUAUAGAGGCAAGCCAUACCUGGUCGGCACCAUUGCAGUGUAGGUCCUCUUCUUCCUUGCACUUCUAGGUAAAGGAAAUAACUAAAACUUCCCAUACAACCAUGGCUGCAACCUCAGAUCCGCUAAUGUGCCUUCCAGACCUUGCUCCAAUGAAAUCAAUGUUGAAAAACAGCUGCAGAGCUUGAAGGCAGUAAUCAUCUAAUCCUCUGCAACAAUUAAAACCAUGUGUCACGAUUUGAGAAAGCAUGGAAAAGUAUAUAAUUACAAUGGCAAGUUCGUGUAUUGACCUAUUAGCCAGAUUACACAACAAAGGAAAGUAGUGGAAGAAGAGCUGAAGUGAUCUCUGAUCUUGCUUAACAUCUGCAAUGCAUUGCAAGAUAGCUUCUCCGAGCUCAAGGCAAGCAUCAUGGACAUGCUGCUGGCUCUCAAGAGAAUUUCAGGCCAACAGUCCUACACCUGUGUCACAGUCAAGAAGAUCAAUAAGAAGUCCCCUGUAGCUGAUCAGGAAAGCUGCAGGAUCAUAAAAAUCUUGUGUGAAGCCAGAGAGAUUGCCAUCUUUGUUCUAGCAACUUUUGCUGAAACAAAUUGUGAUUCCAUGUUCUAGCAUAUGGUCUGUGGUCUCCAAGAUAUAUCCCAUAAGAGAUGCAUUGUCUGUGAAGAUGAGAAAUUGCAGGAGUUGGAAUUGCACAUUUGUUGCUCUUGAGAGUGGAAUUGAGAAUUGAGGCUAUGUUCAUGACAUUUGAUCCAAACAGUCAAGCAAUUCUUUUUUUUUUCGAAAGACCCCAAACAGUCAAGCAUUCAUUCAUACUGAAGAUGCUGCUACUAGUAGUACUACUACCGCCUACAUUUUGUUGUUUAAAUUGCCAAGCAUCUUUAUAUGCAAAGUAAGUAGGUGAUUUUGAUGUUUCCAGCCGAUUCACACAACCAAACAACUAUGCACUACAUCUCCUUUUUUUUUCAAGAGGCUAACUAUCAACUGAAGUCCGAAUGCAAGACUCGAGCAACAGCAGGCAAAAGCUGCACGACGACAUUCAGAUCCAAGCGAUUUCUGCUGCGCCAAACCAAUUGAAGAUGCAGCCUUUUACAUUGGUCCAGACGUCCGGAGGCGCAGAGCGUCGGGGUCGGGGAAGCCACAGGAACGCUCGCCUGUGAGCCUCCUCCGCAUCGAGGCCUCGGCGGUCGGCACCGCCGGGAGGCGGGGGAGAGGGAGGAGAGGAGAAGACGAGGAAGGGCAGGUGCGGGUGAAAGGUCCGCUGCCGCGGCUACAGCACUCCGACUCCGGCAAGCCUAUAACACCGCCGCCGCAGCUGCUGCCGCCGGUGGACGGGAGUUUAGCGGGGCUUAAUGCAAAAAUCGGGAUCGCGAUUGUUAUCCACGAUCCAUCUUAUGGGGUCUUUUGAAACAAUGUGCUGACUAAGGCCCUCUCAGAGUUGACCAUGGCAGUCUUCGUGUUGACCGUCGGUGAGCUCCUCCCGCUCCCGCCACCGCUCGACGACGUGCUGCGCCCGCCGCUUUUCUCGCCGAUCUCCUCCCCUUCCAGAGAGCGCUGCCGGACUCGGCCGGGCCCCUGCUCGACGUCCAGCUGCUCCACCUCGCGCCACUCGAAGUCGAUCCGCCCCUACUAUCAGAGCUCCAGCUCCGAGGACAACGGUCACAAUUCACAAGGAUCGUAGACGACUGCGAUUUCUUGCCGCGAGAAGAGCGCCGCCCUCAGGAGAACCGGAGCUUGUACUUGCAGUUUCAGCUGCUUGGUCGAUCGAGUGGUCGGUUGACGAGGAGUUCUCCAGGGAUUGACACCAUGACCCGCCUAGCUACUUGGAACCACGCCUGACGCCGCCGAUGCCCCACAAGCCGGCGGAGAGACCGCCGGCGGAAACUCCAGCGGCGCCGUCGCCGUGCCGCGCGAUCCAUGCCGUCGAGGCAGGGAAACGACCAGGUCAAAGCGCAGCAAGUUGAAAUUUGGACCGUACGUGCCCGAUCUGACGGCUGGCAGGGCCCCAGGGUGGACGGUAAAUGAAAUACCGUCCACCCCCGGAAGGAGGCCGCAGGCGCUCUGCCUCGUCAGAAACAGAGUCGACGCCGGACGCCGUGGCGCGGUGCUCCACCGGCCGAUCGAGUGGUCGGUCGACGAGGAGCUCUCCAGGGAUGACACCAUGACCCGUGCCCUUUGCCUGGGAUCGGCGCGCUUGGACGCCUCAAGCAAUCCUUCUUCGGAGGAGCUGCGCUAGACGAAGCCUCGUCGGCAGGCGUCCGGGGCGCACCGCAACGUCGUCGCCAGGUGCCUCGAGCCGAGCGAGCAGGUCCUCGUCCACCGACGCCGCGCGCGCCUCGGGAGGCCUCGACGCUGGCGACGACGCUCGUCGGAGCAUCACCGGCAGCUAGCCAGCGCCAGCGUUCUGCCUUCAGCUCGUGCUGUUGGCUUUUGAAUCCAUGGGCCGCGGUGAACGGGGCGAGCAGUAGCGGCGGAGACGUGGCGGCACUCCGGCGGCGAGGCGACGCGCAGAGCGCAGGUCACAGACGGAGUCCCUGGCUCCCUGGCGGGUCGGGGACUCGGGGCCUCGCGGUUCGGUCAAUCGGGACUCGCUUGCGGUUCGGUCAUUGUGGGUCGCACGAGCUCCAUCUGACGGUUGGUAGGCACCCAGGGGGUGGACGGUACCGUCCACCCGGUCGGUAUCUGAAACACCGUCCGCCCCCCGUGGGGUCGCCAGGACGCCGUCUCCGCCGCACGCCGGGGCUCACCGGAGCGCCGCCGAGUUGGGCCGCCUCUUGCUUCCCUCACUCUCCUCCCAGCCGCCCAAGCUUGCACCACUCACGCCUCUCGGCUUCAGCUUUGCCCAGCAGCUCUGCUGCAACUGCCGUAGAUGUUCUUACGAAAAGGGUCAUGCUCUUACUACUAGUCACGAAAAGGGUCGUGUUCUUACUAGUCAGAUCAUGGCUGCAAGUCCAGUAGAUGUUACUUCAUGGCGCGAGAAAAGUGCCGCCCGAGGAGAAGAAGCUGAGCUUGUACUUGCAGCAGGAGUGUAGGACAGAGUGAUGGUGCUUGGCUGAAGAAUGCUCUCCGUUCGUUGUCUGAACGAUGCUGGCUGUCAGCAACCCAGUUCAUGGAGGCUGGACCGUGAGAGAUCUCAUUCCAAUCAUGAUCUUUACAGAAUUACAGGGUUCAAGCAGGCCCAAUCUGCCUAGUACUAGUACAUUAGUACUACUACUGCAUUCCUAGAGGAAUAAGCUAUUCCUCAACGACAAAAAGAUCCGUCCUCAUUGGAAGUGGAAUCCAACGAUCAAUGCACGCCCGUGCCGCCGACGAUGUCGGCGAAGUCACCCUCGUCAGCGCAGGGGAUGGUGAGGCCGCCGCAUCGGUGGUCAAAGCCGAACUCAUCCUCCACCCGCUUCAGCAUCGUUACGAACGCCGGGUGGCUCAGGCACGCCGUCGGGAUAACCAGCCGCUUCCUCCCCUCGCCGACGUACACCGCCAGGUGGCCCCUCGGCACGUCCGCCGCCGCCGACGGCGACCGGCUCCGGGCCAGGUGCAACCUCGUCAGCAGAUGCCCCAGCUUCCCCGCCAUUUCUAGCUUCUACCUUGAUGAUGGCCACACGAGUCGAAGUUCACUGGCUAUUGAAGGGUGAGAACUGAGCUUGCUAGUUUAUCCGAUUGUUCAAGAGUGAGUUGGAAGAGUUGUGAGAGCCAAGGCUUCGUUUUUAUAGGUCAGAUCAUCAUGGAGCCAACCUUUCAGCGAUCAAUGCUUAGCAAUAAACAAAAACAACUUUAGGCAAUCAAGAAUGGAAGCAGUGUAGUGGCACCACUUGCAGUAUGUGCCGUAGCAGUUUCUUGUUGGCAAUCAAGCUGGGGGCACGUCACAUGGUCCACUGCACGCAUGCCUAAAAGUGUCUUCUCGCAGCAUCUAUCAUCGACAUGAUCUUGCUGCAAGUAGCCGCCUGCCUUAGUCGAGUAGACGCAUGCUGGGCAACAGUACGGAUGCAUUGUACCUUGCACCAAAGGAGGAGGGCGCCGACCACGACCAUGACCAGCUCAAGAUCAGGCAGCUCUGGCCCAGCCGGCCGGUCCAUUCUUGGGCAAGAGCGUCCCACUCAUCUGAAGGUCAUACAGGUACUCUCUGAUCUGAGUAGGUGAGGAGAUGAACUGAAGAGGUAGGACUCAUUUGGAGGAAGAAUCUCACGCUGAUUUUGCAUCGAAACUGUUCUUCCAGGCGGACCCGAGAUAAUAAGUUAUCGGCUGCAUGAUUGCAGGGACACAGGGAAUUCUUUGUUCAUGUUCUUGCUGUAUCUGCUACCGUCGAUUAUACAUUAUACUAUAUAUGGUAUGAUAUCAUCAUCAUCUGCACUGCACAGAGAUUGGAAGGCGUGUCGUGAGCAAACUGUCUGAAUUUUUUAGAGCCUGCAUGAAUGGCUGCAUGGAGCAAGGAGCUGAUUGAGCACAUGGGCUGCGUGCAUCUUCGAGCUCCAAAGUUGUCGAGGCACACUGUGGCUCCAUACCGGGCUGAUGGAAACCAGCGGCAACGAGAUCAAACUUCACAUGGAUCGUUCUGGAUGGGGUCCUCUGGAAUUCUGAGGCAUCAACCCCACAAAGGUAGGUGGUGGAAAAGAAGAAUUUGGAUGCGUUGGCAUCCAGUGUUGGUGCUCGGCAAGUUUAAGCAUCCAAGGCACCAGAAUUGGCUUAAACACGAAUGAAAAUCAAAUGGUAAAAAGGAGUCUACUAUCAGAUGACCUCUCGUUGUGAUGCAGUGUGUGCGUGCGUGGUGACAGACCGGAGGACGCCCUCGCCCUGUCCUCCUCACCGCCGGACCUCACCCCGCCGCCCUGUGCGCCUAUGCGCGAGCAGCUGCAGCGGGCCGUCCGGGAUGCAACGAGGGCGGGAGCGGCGGCAGUCCCGAGCGGCGCGGCGUUGGCGAGCCCCGAGCAGCUGUCUUGGUGCUCGGCAGCCACGCGUGGGCGGGCCUAGCCCCGCAGAAGCGGACGGCGGCGGAUAGGCGGCCGAGGCCGAGGCCCAGCACGAGCGGAUGGCAGCGCCCCGGCAGGAGCGGAUGGUGGCUGAGGCCGCGUACCAGCAUGAGCAAACGGCGCCCACGACCAUUCACGCAGCACAGGCGGCCGGUGCCCGGAGAACUUGAGGCGGCGCGGGUGGAUGGCUACGGGCCUACGGACAAUGUUUUUAUUUUUUUAGUUAUAAAACAUGGGUCAUGAGUUGGAGGAGAGAGAUCGGACUGCCACGCGGGUCCCACAUGCUAGGUUCACAUCAGCGUCCCAAUCAACCUGCCACGUAUGGAGUUUAGUAUAGGUUAUAGAGAUUUUGGACGAAUCGAUUAAGAAGUUUAGGAAUUCAAAUGUGCAUUUUGGAAGUUUAGGGAUCUAAAUGACGCCUGCCGCCAAGUUUGUGUACCGCGGGUGCAAUUUUUAAAAAUCAAAUUUGAUCGAUUGAAAACGGAUGCAAAAUCGAUAAGAACAUUGAAGGAUAACAGGAUUUUUUGAAUUGACCAUUCAUGCUGAUCGAUCGUCGGCCCAAUAGUAGAAAGAAAGAAGCUCGGUCUGCAGGCCCAAAGAAAACGGGCCGAACCAACCUAGCCAGUGGUGGUGGUGGUGGUGUCGUUUUCGGGCCAUUAUUGAUUGAGGCUUGGUUGAGUUGGUACGAACGCGAGCCGAAUGCUACCGUGCCGCUGACGCCAUGCACGACGUUCGCAGCAGGGCAAAGCAGAUGUCCAGACCAGCAUCAUCCCACCGGCCUGGCCUGAAACAGCCUUGCCCCAACCUUCUUGGUUUUGGUAAUGCUUGAUGGUGCCGAGGCAGGCAGAGGUGACGUGCCGCUGUACAUGUGAAACCCCACCUUGUUUCUGCCGGGCCUCCAGAACGUUUCCUGCGUGGGGCGUUUGGAGGGGGUUAAAUUUUAGCCCCUGUGACAUCGAAGGUUUGGACACUAAUUAGGAGUAUUAAAUAUAGGUUAAUUAUAAAAUCAAUUUCACAACCCUAGGCUAAAUCGCGAGAUGAAUCUAUUAAACCUAAUUAGUCCAUGAUUUGACAAUAUGGUGCUACAGUAAAUAUUCACUAAUGAUGGAUUAAUUAGGCUUAAUAUAUUCGUCUCGCGAUUUAGCCUAGGGAUUCUGCAAUUAGUUUUGUAAUUAGCUCAUGUUUAGCCCUCUAAUUAGCAUCCGAAUAUUCGAUAUGACAUGGACUAAACAGUAGCUCGGAUCUCCGUCCCCAGCAUGCAUGGAGAUUGACGACGACAACAGGACGUGGCGGAGUACAUGAGUAAAUGCGUGGCCGGAGCCCGCGUUGUUUGAUGGCUCAACCGGGACGCAGCGCAGGGAUAUGAUUUUUGUGUUGCCGUACGUAGUGGUACUAGCACACACUGCUCUAUGGUCCCGCGCGCACUGCGGCCACCCUCGCCGGGGCGUCAGCCGCGACGCGAGCGUGCGUGCGUCACGUUGGUACGCGAAUGGACCCGUAGCUGUAAUCCAUCCCCAAGUCGUAACACAACUUGUCUCCCCCGCUUGCAUUGGGUGACCAAACAAAACUGCAAAGUGCAAACCAGACCGGCCGUCGUGCAACUGUAAGCAGGCCGGCAAAGCAGCACUGCCUGACCUCGCUGGUGCUGCUGAAGCUGAACUUGCCCCCCCACGUACUACUGCACCAUCGGCAGCCGAUGCAUGCGUGACGUGUCGGUCCAUCGUGGCAUCGUCGACCCCACUGGUCCGCGGCCACUUGGCAGACAGACAGAAAGAGGGCGCCGGUCGCCUCCAGUCCCGACCUGGGUGCCGACCAGGGGUCCCAGGGGAGAUGGAAAGCGCAAGCGCUACACGCGCUGCUGGUGCUUGUCCAAGCAAAGAAAACGAAGCAAGCAAUCUGCUGCUGCCGACCGGGACCGGGACCGGGCACGGCACAUGCCGUCGGCGUGCGGCAGCUUCCCUACAGCAGCCGCCUUGCUGGUUGCUGUUGCACCAGGCAUCAGCUGACGACCACCACCUCUCCCUCCGUCCCUCGGCUCUCGCGACGAAAAGCGGCCGGGACCGGGAGGGGAGCGCACGCCUCCAUGCCUGGGCCGCUGGGCGCGCCUUGCCUCUGCGUGCCUGCCCCCGGAACCCGAGUGCUGCCUGCCUUGCCCGCCCUCCCGGCCAGCCGGCAGCAAAGGCUUCCAAAGCGGAGCAAUGGAGCAGAGCCCAACGACCAACCACCCCCACCCGGGAAUUCAUGGGGUUGCCGCUCAUGAGGCCAUCGAUUGCGACCUGAUUGAUGCCACCCGACGGCACCGGCGGAUCGCCGGAUCGGAACACGGAGCACGGGGCACGGCACGCCACCCUAGGCGGGAGGCUAGCAGGUAGCAGCUCACAUGCCAAAGCCUGCGUGCGCGCAUGCACGGCUGCACGCUGACGACGACGCUCCUAGUGGUAGCCUCUAGCCGCCCAAGCCAAAGCCUGCAAGCCACACCCCCUGCCCCUGUCUCCCUCCCAUCCCGUCGCAUGCCACUUUGGUUGGACAUGCAUGAACACUGUAGCACCGCUUGCAGCUGUAGCCUCCUAGGAUGCCUGUGGACACGCCGGCCGGCCGGCGUGGCACUGGCCCAGCAGUCAGCCACUGGGAUCUUCGAUAACUGUAGUGAGCUGUCUGUCCUCCGCCGGGAUUCCAAUCUCACAGCCCCCCUCGUGACCUCCUCUGCUCGGUUCACGCAGUAGCAUACACUACUGCAGCUCGUGCUCCCGUCGAUGGGGAUGUGGGCCACCGGCCACGUCGUAUCCCGACCAAGUACGGUAUCGGCAGCAGUAGGAUCCGUUCCUGGAGCAUCCUCCACUCGAUCUGGAAUUCUGGAUUGUGGGUGGAGGUGGACCAACCAAACCAAGCAAAGCAAGGUGUACUCUGUACUGGAGGCCAGGCCGUUGGGUUUUGGCGCCAAAAGAAGGGGUGGUCGAUCGCGUGGACAGGACGGGCCUGCGCCUGCGAUUUGAACUAGCCCUGGUGGGGCUGGGGGGCCCCGGCCCGUUCGUUCCCGCUCCCGCCGUCGUCUAGUACGCGUCUCGGGCUCCGCGGCGGUUUUGGCGCCAACGCCGCGCGACACCUGAGAGGCUGAGACGUUUUGGCGCCAAGAAACAGCAGCAGGCGCGCGGCGGGGUCAAAGGUGGGGGGACUGUGGAUCCUGCUGCUCCUAGUCCUACCCGCGCCCGGCGCCCGUCCUGUCUUUUCCAGGAGGAGACGGUCCAGGACCGCACCACAUGGAAACAUUCUAUUCUCCUUUUUCUUUUCUUUUUUCUGUACUAAAUAAAAAUAAAAAAGAUAUAUAUAGAGACUAUACUGAUAAAAAAAAAUAUGCGUUGCGUGGUUACCCCUCCGGCUGAGGGAGCAAGCAGCCAUUGAGCGCUCCAGGAGGCACAUCCGCACGCGCACGUCACGUACGUGCGGCUUCUGCAUAUCGCUGCUGGCUCCAACCUGACUCGAGUCGUCGUGCUUAUGACCUUAGCAUGGAAGGAUGAACACUGAUCCCCACAUUCCAUUCUUUUAGUGGGAAAAAGAAAAUAAAUUUGAAAUGAUUUGUCAACAAGUUUAAAGUAGUGGGAUCAUUGGUCUGGAGAGUUGAAACCAGGGGCAGGUCAAACGAUAAAAGAAGCGUGAUUCCCCCAGGUCAACUGCGAUUUGCUAGGUUCCCCGCAUGCUUGUCCAACAAAACGGGGUUUUGGCCCUCUUACAAAUACUACUACUCCUCAACGGGACGCGCCAAUAGCACAGCCGCACUGGACUCCGUCCAUAUUUUUUUUUUAAGAAGAAUACAUGGUUACAACGCCAUACGUGAAUUCCGUUGUAUGUUACGGUCUUUUUUUUUCAAAAAAAAGAAAGAAGCUCGACGCUCGAAAAGAGGUCCAACUAAAGAGCCCUCGUUGCGCGUUAGGGGAGUUAAAAAAAUGUUGUUAACUAAUGUAUUUUUAAACACUAACGUGUUCUUAUUAAUAAUAUAUCUUCUUGUUGUUCUGAUUAAAAUUCCCACAUUCCAAACACCUCUUCUUACACAAUUAUGUGUUUUUUUCUAUCCUCUAUUUUACUACUACGCACAUUUCUGCAUUUGUUUUUCUAUCCUCUAUUUUGCUACUACGCUGUUAUCGCAUUUCUGCGUUUUUUCCCCUCUGCUUUUUAUUCCUUUGUCCCUUGUCCUUUAAAAAAAAUGUAGCUUUCAUUUGAUCGCGCAGUGGUAAACCAAAUGCUACUAGACGUCCUCGAAAUGGUGCCUGUCCUCGAAAUGGUAACGAUGGUUGAGCAAAGUUGUCGGCGAAAAAGGGGGAAAAAUACUAUUCUGUUUUUUUUUUAAAAAAGAAAGAACACUAAUGUGAAUCUUCCCAUACUCCGCCGCGCACCUUCGGGCGCUCGCAGCCUCGCACGAUCACACGGCACGGUCGGGCUCGCUCCAUUUGCUCCAAAGCCGCAGCCCGUUGAAUUUCCAGUAUGAACAUAACCCGCACGUUCCUCCACGGCUUGACAUGGCGCCGGUGAGGGUUAGGUUUGACUCGCGCAGGUCCCGAGGCGGCGGCCUGGCGCCGGCACGUCGCCCCGACUGACGCGGCCCUCGAGGCUCGCAAAAGGGCCCAGCAUCAUGUUCACCUACUGCCAGUAGCAGCAUACAGUACCCACUCCACGUCCCGGGGGGGCAGAGACAGACCGGGCCAGACAGACGGCGGGAUCACGGGACGGCGCGUGCACGUCGUCGCCUCGCCGGUCACGCGCGGGUGGUGCGCGGCACGUCGCCGCGGGCAUCCGCGCCCCCCACGACGCCAGCCCCGGCCGGAAUCGUGCGCCCGGUCUCCUGCCCCUCCUGCCCCCUGCGCCAACGGACGGGCAGGCGCCGCCGUGCCGGAUCGAACCGGCCACGUCGUCGCAGGGAAGCUAGCUACAGCUGGCUAGCUUGCGCCCGCCCGCCGGGAUGGCCGCGUCGUGCCUGCGCACGAACCCCACGCACGGCCGCACGUUCCGCAGCGGCGGAGCAGUGCACGCACGCACCCACCAUUAUUCCAAAGAUACCGGUACGUGCGCGCGUACGAUCCGAUCCAAUCCGGCGGAUCCCCGGCACGCCCCCGCCGAUUCCCGACGGCGGGCACCGGCGCCACCACACCGCGUGCCCUGCUCGACUGCUCUGCUCUGCCCGUCGUCGCCUCUACUCCGGUCACGUGACCGAUCAGCGCCCUGCCGCCAUGGAUCCAGGACCCACUCGGCGCACACUAGCCCGCCGCCACGCCCAUCGGGAUCCCGACAUUAAUGGCCGUCACGGCGCGAGCGUGGCGCCGAUGCGCAUGUAUGAGCGCGCGCGCGCGUCGCAUUAAUGGAUCAUCAUGGGGUGUGCGUGUGGGCCACACGUCCGGGACGGUACGGUACGGUGUCGCAUGAUCUCCUCCGCGCCAUAAGGCAUCCGCCGAUGUCGGGGGUGGUUGGAUUCACGUACUGGUUUGGUUUGUUUUGGUUCCAGUCAUAUUGGAAUAUCAAUUAGAAAGAUUAAAAGUGAACUAAUUGUAAAACUAUUGUAUAAGUUGUGGCUAAUUUGCAAGAUGAAUCUAUUAAACCUAAUUAAUUUAUAAUUAGCGCAUAUUUACGGUAUCACUACAUGGUUAAAUCAUGGAUUAAUUAGGCUUAAUAGAUUCGUCUCGCGAAUUAAUCUUUAUUUAUACAAUUGAUUUUGUAAUUAACCUAUAUUUAAUACUUCUAAUUAUUAUCUAUACAUUCGUCCUUGUCUUCAAAUGGGACUAGCUGCUCAUAGAAUAAUUUCUUAUAUUUUAAUUAAGAAGAGAAGAGCUAUCUUUUAAUAAUCUUAUACAACUAUUUCAAGAUUAAAUGACCUGUGAGCUACCUGCUGGCUCGCACUGUUGGAGUCGUCCUGAAUCCACCACCGGAUCCGUGGAAAUCCAGCGCCUGGGGACGGACGCCUCAUUGAACUCGUUCCGCGGGGCCCCUCGCCCACGGUGCACCACCACCCGAUUCGUACCAGUACUACGGAGCACGUACGUGCCACCGUCCUCGAAUCACAGAUCUCGCUGCCAUUCAUCCUCACAUCAGCUCUGCAUCGUGCAAAAUUUCAUCUGAGAUCACAAAAAGGCACUCCCUCGGAUUUUGACUUCAAAUGAUACUUUGACUUGCACUUUGUUUUAUCAAAACAAACUUUUUCAAAAUUGUGAACACUGCUAAAGUACGUGUAUUCCCCGUGACGAAUGCAGUGUCAUCUAGUGUCAUGCAUUGUGAAUUUAAACCGUUUAUUGUCGGAUCAAAUUUGUGGAAGCAAGUUUGGCCGCGCGAAAUCCUAAAAUGAAUCUGAUCUUCAUCGCUCGAUCGGGCGGUCGUGAGCGCAAUUGACACUAGUGCCCUUUUUAUCUUAAGCCGUCAUUUGGCUACUACUUGGCUGUCGUAUUGACAGGUUGCAUUCGUGCGGACUCACACGGCAGCUCCAAAACAAACCUCGGUCGGCAGCUCGAUUCGGAAUAUCUACGAAAUAUUCGAGCUCAACCCAGCUCUCGCUUCUCUAACUCUUGUCCGUUUAUUCCCCGACGUGUGCUUCUCUGCUUACCCAAAAAAUCACUCCUUUGGAACUACUAGUAGGGCACCUCUCCUAAAUCCGGCAAGAUGCCCUGCUUUGUCCUCACCGCCGUCUCCUUCCAUCCGAUCAAAAUCCCAACUUGCCAACUAGUAGAGCCGACUGAUAGGCAUAUCUCCACUUCAAAUCACAAUUCGAAAUUUAAGCAGAGGCAGCGGAGCCCGAAGCACGAUCGAUUUUAAAUUCGAACAGCAAGCAAAAACUAAAUUCGAACAGCGAAAAACUAAGAGGGGGGGGGGGGGGGGGGGGGGCGCUUUGGGAAGCUCCAACAGAAAGGAAAAGAUGCCCCGGCCCAUGUUUGCCGGUGCUCCCCGGGGGUGGCGGACACGGCCGCGGCAGCACGGGUGCAAUGACCGAACCGCCCUCGCCGGUCGCCGCCGCACCGCCGGCGGGCGGGGGCGUUUCCGUCAAUGCGCGGGGGCAGUUUGGGCUUCGCUUUGCUGGCGCCGCGCGCAGCAGCGAGACCCGGCAGCAGCGUCCGUAACGACGACGGAAAAGGGCGCGCGGCAGCCGGAACCGGGCCCACCGAUCCCCCCGACAGCUAGCGGAGCGCAGGGACAACUGCGCGAGGCCGCCCUGCUGGGCCCCGCAAGCCAGCUGCCGUGCUGUACUACGCGGUCUGCCUGCCGGAUAGCUGUAAAAACAAAAGAAUUCCUGCUACCGCUUGCGCGAGGAGCGGUCGUCAUGUACGUUCCGUUAAAAAAAAACAAAGAUUUUUUUUUACUAUAGUACCCCAGGUACUACUGGUAGCUCAGUAAAAUACUAGUUUUGUCCUACCGGUGUCCACUUUGUUACUUGCAUGGUAAAUGAACAUUUUUUCUCUUCUCAAUGACGUUGCCAUUCCCAUUUGAACUUCAAACCAUUCAAAUUUUAAAAUAUACUUUCCUUUUGAGAGAGAGAAGCUUUAAAACAUUCCUCCAACUGCAUUAGGUUGGUCGAUACGGUAUAACAACAACCAGAAAUGCCGUCCGGACAUUUUCUUUUCUAUAAGAAAAAUAAAAACCAAGAUGUUCAUUGAGCCGGACGCAAAGGGCGGGAAAUAUGCAAGUGCAAGGCAAGGAACAGCCACGCACCGUCUCCACGUGGCGACCCACCUGGCUCCCACACGAGAGCCGCUGCGACAGCAUGUGCCCCGCGGGACCCACCACCCUCCUCCUACCCCCUCCGGCCUCCGCGUCUUAAAUUCCAGCGCCCCGUCAAUUCCUUUCCCACCCCCCGCAUCCCAAUUCCAAAUUCCAGCUCAGUUUCUCAGAACAAGGCGAGCUGGGCGAGCAGAGCCAAGCCAAAUCCGGGGAAGCCUCCAAGCCGCGGGCGAUUCGGCCGAAGCGCCCCCUCGUCGCCGUCGUCCUCGUUACCUUCGUCCGCCCCUUGCUUUUAUAUACUGCGCCGGGGUUGGCCGGGCUCGCUCCGUGCGCGGAAGCGGCGGCAGCGGCGGAGCACACGGUGGGUGUCGAGGUGCUUGUGAGGAGGAGGAAGAGGAGGCCGGUGCGGAGAUGGAGUGGCUCGACGAGUACGAGAAGCUGGUGAUCCGGAUGAACACGCCCCGGGUGGUCAUUGACAAUGCGGUCUGCCCCACGGCGACGCUCGUGCAGGUGGACAGCGCGAGGAAGCGAGGGGUGCUGCUCGAGGCCGUGCAGGUGCUCGCCGACCUCGACCUGUCCAUCAACAAGGCCUACAUCUCCUCCGACGGCCGGUGGUUCAUGGACGUCUUCCACGUCACCGACCGACUCGGCCGCAAGCUCACCGACGACAGCGUCAUCUCCUACAUCGAGCAGGUAGGCUUGCCGCUGUCCUCGGUUUGGUUCUUGGCGCCGUGUGGUUGCCUCGCCGGCGCGGGCAAGGGAGAAAGUAGCGGCGUUUAUGCUGAUGCGCGUCGCGCGGUUUUUUGCAGUCGCUGGGAACGUGGAACGGGCCGGCGCGGCCGGCGGCUCUGGAGGGCCUGACGGCGCUGGAGCUCACUGGCGCCGACCGCACGGGGCUCCUCUCCGAGGUCUUCGCCGUGCUCGCCGACAUGGAGUGCAGCGUCGUGGAGGCCCGCGCGUGGACGCACCGCGGCCGCCUUGCCUGCGUCGUCUUCCUCCGCGGGGAGGACGCGGACGCCGCCCGCGUGGCGCGCAUCCUCGCCCGCCUCGGCCACCUCCUCCGCGGGGACCCAGCGGAGGCGCCCGGCGCCGUGGCAGCCGUCCCCGCCGCGGGCGUCGCGCACGCCGACCGCCGCCUCCACCAGCUCAUGGCCGCGGACCGCGACCAGGACCUCCGCGCGUUCCCGACGCCGGCCGUGUCCGUCGACAGCUGGGCGGAGCGCGGGUACUCCGUGGUCACCGUGCAGUGCCGCGACCGCCCCAAGCUACUCUUCGACGUGGUGUGCACGCUCCACGACAUGGACUACGUCGUCUUCCACGGCACCGUCGACACCACCGGCGACCAGGCGCGCCAGGAGUUCUACAUCCGGCACGCCGACGGGAGCCCCAUCCGCUCCGAGGCCGAGAGGGAGAGGGUCAGCCAGUGCCUCCAAGCCGCCAUUGAACGGAGAUCGCUCGAGGUAAUUACAGGAUCAUUCGAUUCAAAUGCUGGUUUCAAAAUUGCAAUGUUUUUGUAAUGAAAGAAGAAGAAACUAAUGUGUUUGGUUUUUUAAUUUGCAGGGGGUGAGACUAGAGCUGUGCACGCCGGACCGGCCAGGGCUGCUGUCCGACGUGACGCGAACGUUCCGGGAGAACGGGCUGCUCGUAGCUCGGGCGGAGGUGUCGACCAAGGGCGACGUGGCCUCGAACGUGUUCUACGUGACCGACGCCGCCGGCGACGCCGUGGAGCAGUGCGCCAUCGACGCCGUCAGGGAGAGGGUCGGCACGGACUGCCUCGUCGUGGGGGAGGAGCCCCGGCCGCAGCUCUACCGGAAGCCCGCGCCGGCCGACCGGGACCACGGCGUCGGCGGCGGCCUUGGGCUGGUCUACCUCGGCAACCUCGUCAAGAGGAACCUCUACAACCUCGGCCUCAUCAAGUCCUGCUCGUGAGAUACAGCGGACACGAUCAAAAUCCAAGAACACACCAUUCAUUUCGGCCAUGAGCUGUGGCCGUGCACUUGGAGACAUCUCGCUUGCUUCUGCAAUCGUUGCCAUGCCAUUGCUGUGCAUACAAGAUUCAGGACGACAGUGAGAUGCUGCGAAAAGGGAUGUGUGGUGGCUGAAAGCUCAAGCAGGGUGAAAGCUCAGGCAUGUCCCGAUUCAGUGGUUCAUCAGAGAUCCAGGAGCUGCGACCGACGCCAUGCCAUUGGGAGAUGCAGGAUGAUGGUAGAUGCUGAUAGCAGUAGGAAUUUCUGUAGCCAUGUACAUAGACAAAUUCGUUGCUGUGAGUACUAGCAGUAGCGCGUAGUAGCAGUUGGUGUGUGCAUUCAUCAUGUCUUCGGGCACAGGGGCCGGCCGGACGAUUUGUGAUCUGUAAAAUUCUGUACCCGCGCCGCCGCCUCUGGCGAAACAGCAUUCUUUGCCUCUUUUUGUCUGUCCUUGUUUGCCAGUAACUGAGGCUUUUCCUGCUGAUCUGCCGGAUCCAUCAUGCCCAAAUGUGGCUAAUCUCACCUUUGUCAGUUUAGGAUCUGAAAGGAAAAUGUGUGUGAUGUAGGAUUUUGUUGUGCCCUAAGCCCCUAGCAGGUGUAGGACUGAGCCCAAAUGUGGCUAAUCUUGCUUUAGCAAUUUAGGAUCUGGAAAGGGAGGAGAAGAUGGUGCUUUUGUUCUGGUUGAUUAGGGGUGGCUUGCAAGGGAAACAAGGUGCCUGGGUUGGGCCAGGAAGGGAGUGAUUUGUAAUCACAGAGCAAAGGACUCUUAGACUGGAGUGGGGGCAGGCAAAGCUAGGCUGCUGCUCCUUGGUCUUUUCCUCUUGUGGAAUGUCUGAGGUUGUAAUGCAAGUGAUUCAUUCACGGCAAUAAAGCUGUGGUCAUGCUAACUUAUAGCAAGUGUGGUGGGGGCACACUACUCAUAAGUCACAGAGCUCGGCUGCUGAGACUGAUAAAAUGGGGAGAAAAAUACAGUAGGAAAUCAGAAGGUGAAAAACAGUUACAUGCAAUCUGAGUCACCUGCUAGGCUGCUACUCUCCUAGAUAGAGGUCAAUUGGACUAUUCAAACACCAAAUUCUCACCAGAAAUGAACCAAAUUUUGUCCAUACAGCCGCCCGUAUAUUCCUAGUCUUUGCAAGGCCUGCAGCUCGUCCCCUUUCUUCAGAAUUCACUUGCCUUGGAACACACUUCCGACGAGCACGGCCAUGCAUGCGCGGCUGAACUCGGUUCAUGUCUAGUGCCUUUCUGCACUUCCGAUACACAACAACAGCCACUCGAUCGAGAUUUGGUGAGCUAAAGCAGCUGGCUUUACUCCGCCUCAAAGUGUACGAACAUUCUGGAUCGGAGCGGCGGCCUGCCCUGCCAAGUGCCAAAGAUUCCACUAGUCAAAAUGCUGAUGCCUCAAAAAAGCAGGGGUUUGGCCUUUUGCCCAGGGACGAGCAGCAUGGUUCGUGCAAUCGUGCAGCUAGCAGCUUGCUCUGAAUAAAAAUCCCUGCAGGCGGUUUUUGAUUUGCCUGGAACUAGAGUCACCAGCUCCAACAGCGACAAAACAAAGAGCUCUCGACAACUAACCGAGAUGAUGAUGAUGACGAUGAUGAGUGCAGCUGAUGUGCAUGUCCUGUCCAUGUUAUACUUUGCGGUUCAAGUUGGCUUAAACAAACACCGUGGUUCCGCGUCUCUAAUGAUAUAGGUCAGCUGCUAGCUCAAAUUUGAUAUGGAUCCCGUGAAUAAGGAAGCUUUGAAGGUUGUGUUUGAAAGAAAGCUACAUCGAAAAACGAGUGAGACUAGCUCUUCACUCCACGCUAGUCUCAUACAUUUUGCACUAUUUCUAGACUAAAAAAUUGAUUCAUCUAGCUCUAAGCUUACAUUUUUUAUGGUGUUAGGAUGAGGAUUUGGAAUGUUAGCACCUCCAUGAUAUGGCAGUUUCUAGCGCUCUUAAAACAAAAAGCUAAAGCUGCCCUUAGGCCUCCUCUAACAGUGCCAACUUAGCUAGUUCAUAAGUAUACCACAUCAGAUUUUUACCCAUGUGGAAGAGAAAGAAUGAUGAGCUAACCUGUUUGGAUCAAGUGCUAAUGGGUGAAAGUGUUAAAGUUUAGUACCUUAUGCAUUAGCCCAUUCAAACGGGAGGGCUAAACUUUAGCCUACUCCAAAAGGUGCAAAAAGUAUUAGCUAGUGGGUAGGAGCUAAUGGGUGCUAAUGGCUUGUGAAAAGGCCAGGGGGGGAGAAAGGGAGGAGGUGAGGUGAUAAAUGGGCAAAAGUGACAUUUCAUGGAUUUUAGCUCUAUCCAUUAGCUAUGUCCCCAAACAGGAGUGCUAACGGCUGGAAGUGCUAAAUUUUAGAUGGGCUAAACUUUAACACGUGCUAAACUUUAGCAAUAGUACAUCCAAACAACCCUUUGUUCAAGAGAUAGUCUCAUGCACACAUCCCUAAAUCAUGUGGGACUGACGUGUGAGGUGAUGUAGACAUAAGAGCCAGGUCUUGACUCUAAUUAUUGGAAGACUCAUCUCUUAUUCAACGUACGAGCUAAUAGUUGACUUUAACCAUUGGAGGAGGUCUUAGAGGCUAUUGAAAAAGGCAAAAGUCCAAAAAAAAAUUUCAAGCUACAUGUGUAAGAAAUAGAUUCUCUUGGUAGCUAAGAUAAAACUAGCUUAUGCACAAGUUAAGUUGUGCCGAAUAGGGUUGCUGGUCGGUCGUGUUUCACAGUCUCGUUGGCUUAUGUGCUGGCCAUAUAGGAGCCGGACUCAUUUGCAUAGGAGAAUGCAUGGACGGACGUAACCCCAGGGGGACAUAUGCCCUGUAACUCCACUAGUUAUUGCUUUAAAUUUCUAUUAAAAAAGAAAAAAACAUUAGCAUCUGUGUUUGUAUAUUAAGCUUUUCAGUUUCACUCAAGUAAAAAAUAUAGCAUCAUUGAUUGCAAGAAAUCCAGCUUUAUAAGUGAAAAAGGUAAGGUAAUUAGGAUAAUCAUUGAUAAUUAAUGGUAUUGCUGCACUCAAAGACCAUAAGCAAUCGAAGAGAUAUCCUCCAUUGGUAAAACAAUGAAGAUACUUGUUGAUCUCUUGGGACGUUGAACCUAUCAACAUGAUUAGUGUAUCAUUAUGAGAUUUUUAGGAGUUAAGACCAGGUACUACUCCAAACCCUCUCUAUCGUUAAUAAUAGGGUAAUUGAAACAACUCUCUUGUAAGCACGAACUAGAUAAAAAAAAGGCCACAUGCCCCAACCAGUAAUAACUAACCAAUUGUAUGCCGCUAUUGACAAUCACCCAGUUGUAUGCCACUAUUCACACAUUAUUACUUGUCACUUGAUAUGCAUGGGCGAUGGUUCGUGAGCGUGUAGAUAUGCACACAAUAUUGAUGCAUGGGCGAUGGUUCGUGAGCAUGUAGAUAUGCACACAACAUUGACUAUGAUUUGGAUCAGACAACCGACGCACAUCACAAGGAAAAUAUAAGUGCGAAUGGUUGAUAAACUACAAUUUCAUUGCUCUCUUGUAUCUCUUCUUACAUUGUUUUUCUGCUUUUUUACUUGCACAAGCGAAUUGAGAAAUUAAAUAAAGAGACUAGUUAACCGUAGUUAAGUUGUUUAGGUUUUUUUUUUACCGAGACAUGCUAUUCCGGUUCGAGCUCCGACCUGUCAUGGAUGCUCCUGUUGAAGUUUAAUUAUGACGUUCUCAUUUAUAGACAGACAAUUGUGGUGGCUUCUUUAAUCUCAUGAUCUCUGCUUAGUCUCUUGAGGUAGUCAUAAGGGUAGGGUAUGCAUAUGCGUGUUCAAGGAAUGAGUGUGCAUAUAUGUAUAUGUGAGCGUGUACACCAGUACUGUAUUUCGAAAGCAAAAAAAAAUGAAAAGAAAAUGAUUUCGUUGCUGUCAGUACUAGCAGUAGCGUAUAGUAGCAGUGAGCGUGCAUUCAUCAUGUGUUUUGGCACAGGGACCGGACGAUUUGUGAUCUAAAAUUCUUUGGGUUGCCACUUUUUGUCUGUCCUUGACUCCUUGCUAGUGACUCAUGCUUCCCUGCUGAUCUGCUGGAUUGAUUAUGCCCAAACGUGGCUAAUCUAACCUUUUCAUUUUUAGGAUCUGAAAGGAAAUGUGUGAGAGUGACUGAUGCUUUGCUGCUGAUUCCACUAAGGAUUUUGUUGUGCCCUAGGAUUCAGCCCAAAUGUGCUAAUCUUGCUUUAGCAAUUAAGGAUCUGGAAAGAGAGUGUGGUGCUUUUGUUUUGGUUGAUUAGGUGUAGCUUGCAAGGGAAACAAGGUGCCUGAGUUGGGUCAGGUGAGAGUGAUUUGCAAUCAGAGCAAGGGCCUAUAGGCUACAUACACAUAGACAUAGAGUGGGGACAGGCAGCUACGCUGCUGGCUGCUGCUCCUUGGUCUUGUCCUCUUGUGGAAUGUAUGAGGCUGUAAUGCAAAAGUGAUUCAUUAACAUUCUUACAUUCACGGCAGUACAUUUCUUCAAGAUUUUACUUGCCUUGGAACACACUUCUGACUGACGAGCUGGAGUUGCAUGAUGUUUACAGUACUGGCUUUCUGCAAUUCCGAUAACAACAACUCGAUCGAGGUUUGGUAAACUAAAGGAGCUGCCAGUUGGCUUUGCCUCAAAGUGUACGACGUUCUGCCCUGCUCUGCCGAGAUUCCAUUAGUCAAAUGCUGAUGCCGCAAAAAGCAGGAGUUUGGCCUUUUGCCCAGAGACGAGCAUGGUUUGAUUUGCCCGGAACCAGCGUCACCAGCUCCAACAGCAAGAAAACAAACCAAGAUGAUGAUGAGUGCAGAUGAUGUGCAUGUCCUGUCAUUGGUUGUAUUUUGGGUUGGGAACUUGAUGAUGACUGAUCAGGACAAGCCCUGCUGUGUUGUUGGCUUAAUAAACAAAACACCAGUUGGUGAUUCCGCAGAUCGAAGCAGAAUUGUGAGAUGGGAGUGGGACUAGCUAGGGUGGCGACAAGCAUGGCGAGACGGGCAUCUGUGGCCAGCGCAAGGUCCAAGCCGCCCGCACGGUGGGUGGCAUCUCCAUCACCACCGCCGGCUUUUCAUGGCGGCGGUUGGAUCGUUGUGCCCUGGUGUGUGCUGUCUUGGCGCAUGCGUACGUGUUGACCGGAUCAGUCAGGGCCUGGCUCCGUGACCGAGCCUGCAGGCUGCAGCUCAGCAGCUGCAUGGACCAACGGGCUUAGAAGCAGCCAUGUGCAUCGGACACUGUAUCAGUCAGACGAGAGGGGGAGGCAGUUUUGGUCGGAUCAAGGAGUCAACGUGCGCCGUGGAGGCUUAGGGGUGCCGCUAAAGUUUAGCGUAUGAUGUUUGAUAUUAAUUAAAAGUAUUAAAUAUAGGCUAAUUACAAAACUAAUUGUACAGAUGGAGUCUAAUUCGUCAGACGAAUCUUUUAAGCCUAAUUAAUCCAUGAUUUGACAAUAUGGUGCUACAGCAACCAUUUUCUAAUGAUGAAUUAAUUAGGCUUAAUAAAUUCAUCUCUCGAAUUAGCUCUAAAGGGGUGUUUGGAUACUAGGUGCUAAACUUUAGCAGUAUCAUAUCGGAUGUUCGGAUACUAAUUAGGAGGACUAAAUAUGAGCUAAUUACAAACUAAUUGCACAGAUGGGGUCUAAUUCGCGAGACGAAUCUAUUAAGGCUAAUUAAUACUCCCAAUUAGGCUUAAUAGAUUCGUCUCGCGAAUUAGGCUCCAUCUAUGCAGUUAGUUUUGUAAUUAGCCUAUGUUUAAUACUCCCGAUUAGUAUCAAACAUCUGAUGUGACAGGUGCUAAACUUUAGCGGGUGGUAUCCAAACACCCCCUAUAUUUAUAAUCAGACUAUGAGCUCCAACAGUUUGAGAUAGUUGCUAACUUAUAGAAAAUAUAAAAAAGAGAAAGAAGGUAAGUUAGUCCAAAAGGAUACCUCGAGGCUCGUGCAGUGAGAGAGGAGAGCAUCGGGAGAUGUGCGAGGUUAGCUCUUCACCAAGAGUUAGCUGGAAUAUUUUUACACUGUUUAUUACCAAUAUAACUAUAGAAUGUUGCCAAUACAGCUAUAGAAGACGAUAUAACAAAUACUUGGUCUUACAUUCCAUAAACAGAUUUCACCUGCAUAUACUAUCCAUUUUUCAUUGCUGGAACAUUGAAAUGUUGGCUAUCGUCCUCUUCUCUCGGCAAAAUGUUUCAUCCCCCACGCAAGGUUGAGGUAAACCCCCAAUUCCUUUUUGAGGACCAUGUCGUAAAAUUUCAAUCCGAAGCAAAAACCAGAAAAACCAGAUGCAAAUGCAAUAGUGAGCAGUGAAAGGCCGAAAAUAGUUGUAGUAGCAGGCACAAUCAAGCGGCGCCACCUCGUGUUCUUGUUUCUUCUUGCCUCGUCCAUGGCCUCUCUAUCAAGUUAAAAGACAUGGAUCGAAUGCAUAACUAUUAUUAGGAUCUUUUCGAUGCUGGGGUUAAAUAAAGAAAAAAAAUGAAAAAUAUUAUGUUGUGGUACCCCUCUUUACCUUUCGCUCAUGGCUUCAGCUUUAAUACCAGCUAUCUCUUCGUCAAUAAUUCUAGCCAUCUCUUCGUCAAUCUCCAUUCCCACGUUUUUUAAUUUCGCCAACAAAUGAUCAACCCCCUCCGUCUUCCUAGGGACAUCAACUUCAGCACCAUGGCCAUGUUCACCCUGCUAGGAUUAUAUUUAGAGGAACAAAGCUGAGAGGAUAGUGCAUAAGAGCAUAGGUAAUCCAUUCUUGACGUUUAGAACAAGCAAAUUAGUUCAUUUUUAGACUAAACAAUGUCCUAAACGUCGUAUCAAGAAUAGAUUUUAAGAGGUACAUCUAUCUAAGAUUCAGAAUUUCCCCAAUGGAUAAGAACAGUUACUAAGAAGGAAAAGCGCAUCAGAAGAAGUUAAUGGUGACAAGGACCGUCAGCCAAAUUACGACUCAGUUAGUAAUAGCAUGUCAGAAAAUAUAUAUUAUUUUUGCGAUGAGAACAAAUGAGGAAAUGUAAUCUUUCACAUUCAGAUUGCUGCGACACCCUAUUCCACGUCGGGUCGUAACCAGCUCCUGGUUCAUCAGUUCAAAGAAAUAAAGAAGAAGGAAUCAAAUCCCCACAUCGAGGGAUAGGUUUCUCAGCUCGGAGCUUUCACAAUGCAUUGUAUCAUGAUAUUAUAUCUAAGACUAUUAUUUAUAUGUAUUACGAUAGUCAAAACUCGAAAAAAAAACCUGACAGACCCAAAUUAUUGUAAGUAAAGGCCUCCCAAUCCUAAAAGGACCGUCAGAUCGUGGAUCGGGACGAGAUACCUGAGAGUUGGGAGGCGGCGACUGAUCUCGGGGUGAGGGUGGGGGCCGGUCCAUGGCACCGACUGGUCUCGCAGGCAAGAUCCGGGUGGCGGCUAGGGAUCGCUUGCUUCGAUUCUUUCUUUCUUUGUUUGUUUCUUUAAUUUGGAUAGAUAUAGAUGGAUGAUUUAUUAGUUUGUUUCUUGGGAGCAUCCUCGUUGUGGUAGAGCCCAAUGAGGACACGACGAGGCCCGGCCCAAGUUGAAACCGUGGCUCGAUCAGCAGCAUGGGAACCUACUAGCAUGACUUCUUUUUCAGAGCUAUAGAUGCGCUGAUCUGCCUUCAGUGUGCAGCCGUGAAACAGCGAGUAGAUUCUUAGAUAGUCGACACAAUCUGCAGAAAAUCCUGCUAUUUGCAACAGAAAAUCCUGCAAUUUGCAAACUUGAUUUCCAUUUUGAUCCUUCUCGAAGUCAACAAUUGCGUAACAAUUGAGCCAGUGCCACCACCUCGCUCCCGAGGACAUCAGCACGCCAAGAUAGGUGGUCGGCGUAGCACAGGUGAGUCAAUUUUAAUCAAGAGCACCCAUGCCAUGCUAAUACAAAAAUCAUUGACAUUUUUACACCUUCAACAUCGUUGCUUCACUGAAACCAAACAAAAUCAUUGACAUAACCAUCGUUUGCCUGAUCAUUAAAAGCAUAAGACAGUCGGUAGGGCUUUAUACACCUUUUAUACAGGAACAAAGUAUUCAGGUGUUUCACAUAAACCAAACAAACGUUAGUCACCAACUUUCAUGGUAGCAAGCAAUCUUAUUACUACUUUUCUAAUAAACCUGAAACAUGUUAGCCAAAAGGAGCUGGUAAAUAUGCAGAAGUUACGAAAAGGAGAUGACAUGGAAAGUAUGAACUAAAACAAGAGCAUUGCAAUUCAACAAACACAAUGUUCAAUGGCAAACUAUUUGACUUUGUUUUACCCAUCAUGCUUCUCAGCACACUACCAGUGUAGAGAAACCUAGUAGAGCCAUGAUUCAAUCUCUGCAGCAGUUUACCAACCAAUGGCUCCUAAUAUUACCAUGCUAUGGCAAUAAUACUGAUACAACACUGCAAUGAUACAGCAACAGCUUCUAGUAUUUGUUUCGAACCUAGGAUGUCCCCAUUCCCAUUAUUUAAAAAGAAUAGGAGAGCUACAGCAGACAGAUACGAGACUUGAAUCCCUAUCCCCCUCUCUACCAACUAGUUACCACAUCUGAUUCAGAUGUACAACGGACGAGCCACGUUUAGACUAUUACAAAUGUCAAACAGCCAGAGUACACGCCAGAACACAGGACCACCAACAGCAAACCACGGAAGAAACUGGACACAAAAUUCUCCCACAGAAAUGGUAACUUGAUCUUCUUCCUUGCCCGGGACGCCCUGUCAGUUUCAGACACUUGAAUCCCAGAUAAUGUCCAUCCCCAACCCUAGGGGUUCUAGCAUUGGCGGUGUUCGUCGUUGAAUUCGGGCAUUUGGCAACCUUCUAGCCAUCUGCAGCAGAAUGUUCACUUGCUCCACCAGCAUCUCUCAGACUUCCUCAGCAUACAAACCUGUUCGAUAAUGCAUAGGAGCACAUGCAUAACAAACUAUCUCAGCUGGGUUUUUCUUUUUUCCAUCAAAACAAGUUUUAUUUAGUGUUUUCCAGAUAGCCCACUCAGCUGGGUUUUUCUUUUUUCCAUCAAAACAAGUUUUAUUUAGUGUUUUCCAGAUAGCCCAGCAAAUAGCUGCUAUCCCAGAUGUAUAAAAUUUGUAUCCUAUUAGUAAGCCACUUAUUAACCCAAACCCAAUACUGAUCUAAUUUCUUGGUCUGCUAUCAGCACCAAUACUUUGAGCAAUAAUGGCCCAAGCAAAUUUUGCCACUGGACACACAAAGAACAGAUGAACAAUUUGUCUCAUCAUGAUCAGGUAAGUAAGAUUUUGGGUCUCCCAAUGAAUUGCUGUUAGUAUUUGAGUAUAUUCUGGGACGGUGGGAAAUAUCUUCUUGUUCACAAAGAUGAAACAACAAAGGAAAUUCCAUACAUAUUGGCUCAUCAUACAGCCAGCUAUAUUUCCAAAACAGGUAGAUGGGUUUGAGCUUGAGAAGGUCAGUCCAGACAGGGGAGUCAUCAUACCUGUGUCUCAUAAUGCAUAUAGUCUGACCAAAACAUGAUAACAUUGCUGAAAUUAAGCUUAAAUCAAAACAAGCAGAUAUCUUUGGUAAACAAUUUCAAGUCUGCCACAAAAUGUUAGGACAAAAAUGAACAGAUUUUUAUUCGGUAGUUAGCAACAAAAAUAAUGUGCUUAUAGCUCGAAAGUCGUUUUCCCUAGUUAAUAGGAUUAAGUAUGAUGGAGCUGCCGAAGAAAAUAAGAAUAGAAUUCAGCAAAAUGAUGCUGCUGUAUGUUCUAUAUUGCUUAGAAUGAAAUACCCAACAUGGAACAUCAACAUGUUACGAUGUAACCCAUAUAAAUAAUCACACCAAAACAACAUGUUCUCUUCAUAAUAUCAGCAGUUGCCAAAAAGCUUACUCCCGUUUUAACAAGGUCCAUCUUCAUUAAAAAAUGGCAACUUCCUGGCACCAUCACUAUGAAAAAUAGUCUAACGCUAAUUAUCUGGUCCAAUGGUCUAACACUAAUUAUCUGGUCCAGUGCCAUCGAGGGAAAAGGUCGACUGAAAACUUUAUUCAGAAAUCCUUGCUAAUUAUUGAAUCACCCUCCAUAGAAUUUUCAUUUUUUUCAGACAGACAGACAGACAGACACUAAUACACCAAUAUGUUACAAAUGAUAAGCCUCGUGCUUUAACUGUACCAAACUUAUGCCAAGACAAGAUAAUAAAGGGCCAGCUGAUAAAUAGAAAAACACAAUAACAUCAUUGAGGGUGAAUUACCAAUUUAAUGCUCCUCUCUAGUUCUUCUUGCGGUCCCUGCUCUUCUCCUCAGAACGCUUUGCUCCCCGAUGACCAUGUCGCUCGUCCUCAUCCAACCCAUUGUUCUCUGACCUGCGGUGCCUCCUCCUCUUGCCGGAUCGCUUCUUCUCAUCUGCGGACUCGCUGCCACCAGUGUCACUGUCAGAUGCAUCCCUCCGGUGAUGGCGCCGCUUGUGGUGGCGGCGGCGGCGCCUCCUUUCUUCACCUCCAGACACAUCCUCCUCAUCUGACGAGUCAACACUCCUGCGGUGGCUCUUGUGCCUGUUCCUGUCCUUCCUGCUCUUCCUGUGCCUCUUCCUAUCGGAGUCACUGUCGCUGCUGUCCUCAUCUGAUCUCUCAUGUUUUUUCGAUCGGCUGGCUCUCUUCUUCUUCUCCCUGCCUCGUGUGCCUUCCUCCUCACUGUCAUCACUCUUCCUGCUCCUUGCGUGCUUCGAUUUUCUCUUGCUGCUUCUGCUCCUACGGUGGUGGCUCGACUUCUUCUCUUCCUCCUUGGACCUCCUUCCCCCAUUCCUGGCACGCUCGCGCUCAGCGAUUAUCUUCUCCAGCUCAGGGUCGACAUCCGAAUCAGAGGAAUCGCUGUCAUCGUCCUCCUCUUCCUCAUCAUCAGAAACCCCAUCCGCGUCCCCACCCACAGCAGCCUUCUUCUUAAUCUCCCUAAACUUGGCCAGCGCGGCCGCCUGCGCCGCGGCCUCGGCGUCCGCGUAGUCGAGGUCGAGGUCCUUGACGGAGAGGAAGUUGCGGCACUGGAAGGUGAGGUGGCCGACGCGGCCGCACCUCUUGCAGGAGCCGCGGGUCUCGUCGGAGUGGGAGCCGGUGAUGCGCGCGAGCGCGAGGAGGCCCUGGAAGCUGGUGUAGGCGUUGCCGUCCCCCGCCCCGGAUCCGGACGAGGCGGAGGCGGCGGCGGCGGCGCUGGCUGCGGCGUCGUUGGCGGCCGCGGCUGCGGCGUUGGCGGAGACGGAGGAGGAGGGGCGGCCCGGCUGCUGCUGCUUGUUGUUCUCGGGCGCGUAGGGGUCGUAGCCGAUGGCGCUCUGCCAGAUGCCGUGCGUCUGCAGCGCCGCGCUGCUGUGCACGCGGUUGUUCGCCGGCAUGCGGACCCGCCCCGCCGUCGCCGGCAUCUUGGAUCGCCGCGGGUCGCGCUCGCCGGGGGAGGGGUAGGGUUAGGGUUUGGUAGGAGGGGAGGGGAAUUGAUUUGGGCUUCGAUUGGGGAACGCGUCGGCCCGUCCGCGGGGAGGGAGAAGAAGGGUCGCGGCACAUUUGUAGGAAACCCCCUGCAAGAAGUGCUCGUUUUGAAGUUGGCCUAUCUGACGAAACUGAAUGGCGAGCAUAUCCGGCUUGUUUUGUUUAGUUGGCCAAAUUAGAAGAUGUCAAAUUACUGUGAUGGCACUGUAGCACACUGUAGCGUUUCGUUUGUAUUUGUGAAUUAUUGUCCAAACAUUGACUAAUUAAGCUUAAAAGAUUUGUCUCGCAAAGUACAACAAAACUAUGCAAUUAGUUUUUAAUUUCAUCUACAUUUAGUACUCCAUGCAUGUACCGCAAGUUUGAUGUGAUGGGGAAUCUUCUUUUUGCAUAGUGCCAAAGUUGGAAGUUGGGGUGAAGUAAACAAGGGGCAGGUUUCCUGACAGAGAUGUUUGGAUAAUUUGGGGUGUAUACCCUCUGCCAAACUUUAGGACAUGUCACAUCGGAUGUUUGAUAUUGGAAGUAGUAAAUAUAGUCUAACUACAAACUAAUUGCAUAUAUGGAGUCUAAUUCGCGAGACGAAUCUAUUAAGCUUAAUUAGUCCAUGAUUUGACAAUAUUGUGCUACAAUAACCAUUUACUAAUGAUGGAUUAAUUAACCUUAAUAGAUUCAUCUCGCGAAUUAAACUUCAUCUGUGCAAUUAGUUUUGUAAUUAGCUUAUGUUUAGUCCUUCUAAUUAGCAUUCGAACAUCCAAUAUAACCCUGCUAAAAUUUAGCACAUUGUAUCCAACCACCCAAAUGUUGGUUUUGUCUCACCUUCUCAAUCUUCGGCAACAUUAACAUGUUUCAUGUCAUUCAAUUCAAGUACCGGAUCUCGAAGCCUUGAGCGGCGGCCGGGACAUUGCUUCCAGUUCAAUUCUGAUUUGGGACUUGCUAGACAACAUCUCGUGCGAAAGGGAACUUCCCAAGUUCCUCCUUUUGAUUCUUGUUUUUCACUCUAAAAUUGUACUAGAUCGUCUAUGAGUUUUUAUUUGAUUGUUGGAUGUACAUUACGGUAUGUGCAUCCUACUGAAAUUUCGAUCCAAUUUAUGACCCGUGUCUCCUUGUGCUGCAAUGCGUUAUUGGAGGUACCAGCUGUGGCGGAUCCACCUCGAAUUACCUUGAUUAAAGCAUAGUUAAGUCGCCUGACACGCGAUGCUCAUGCCUUAGUCAAGUUAACUCGAAGUGCCGUCGGAUUUCAUCCGAUUAAACCACUCCACAGGACCGAGUUUAGCGAACUCACACGAAGGUGAGUGGUUCCAGAGAAUACAACAGAUCCACUGAGUUAACCAAAUUUGAUCAUUUAGUUCAACAUCCAAACGAGAAUCAGAGUUUUUACAGGGUUCAAGCAGCAGAAAGGGUAAAAUAACGGAAGCUAGCGCCGGGGGUCGGAUGUCCCUGAUGAGACCGAUCAGGACAUCAGUGAUCCCUUUCCUCACCGUCCGAGGAGGGAUCCCACUCAACCGUCCAACCCGGAGGGAGCUGGGGCGGCCAAGUGCCAACGGAAGCGAACUCAGGAGCUGCGACUUCACCUGAAAAAGAAAGCCACGAACAAGGCUGAGCUGCUAGGCUCAACAAGACUUAACCGACCGGUGGUAAAACUACUCCACCACGUCUAGACAUGCAAGGCUCUUUGGCUGAGGGUUUGUUUGCCAAAAGCGACUAAUUUAGGUCCUUACUUUCAAGUUUUUAGCUCCAAUUCUAAGUUCAUUAACCAGUCUACAUUGGCAUCUUACUCUAAGCAAACAUGGAUCCAGCUUUAAGUAUAUAAACUCAUCACCAAGACCAUGUCAUCAUCAUCAGAUUCUUUCAUUACUCAGUGUAGCAUAGCGAUCAAGCAGUCUCAAACUGUGAGAGGCAGACGAAUUGAUUCGGGUUUCUUAACCAUGCAUGGCGAACCUAACCUCACGACAUCCGCUCACCACAAGGGUCGCUUCCUAUGUCGGCCGUCCCCAUCAAUUCCCAGGCACAUGUCAGGUCCAAACUUCCCUUGGCAUGCAAUGCUCCACAGUCCCGGCCUCUACCGUAGUGUGACCGCACUUGCACCCACAUGAUGCACCAUGGGAACCUCGUUCCAGGGACAGCAGGGGUAUAAGCCACGCCCUAGUUCAAUCAGGUACUAGGCUUCCCCAUCCCAUACUAGGUAUGAGAUUAGUACUUUCAAACACUUGAUCACGAACACCACCACUGUCGGGCCUUAACAAGUUCGAUAGACAGACGGGGCGAUCAACCGUCCUCCAAAAGAGUUAACCAAAACCCUGUCCCGUCCAUCGUCCUUAUAGUUGUAACAGAAGGAGAACAACCAACUCCUAUAACUCGCGAGUGACAGGAAAUCACUCGGCUUUUACCGAUACCUAUUUAAGCAGUGCAACUACUCGACCCAACAACUAGUGUUCAGAUCAAGGAACUAUGUCAUGCAUCUAAGGUUGCAAACAACUCCUAUACGUAAAUGCACAAACACGAGAAAGAAGGCAUGCGCAAGUUUGGGGAAACUUUGGGAUUCAUGCUCCGGGGCUUGCCUUCAAACGGAGGGGAGGAAAGCGGGUCUUCAGCUGGGGCGACUUCGGCUUCUGGAACUGGUAGCUCAGCUACGGCUCCGUCUUCUGGCGCCGGGUGUAGCUCGUAGACGCCGUCAGCAAGACGAAACUCUACACGCAUGCAAUGCAGGAGUUAGUGUUUAGACGGUUAUUUCAACAGCAACACUUGCAAGUCUUAGCCAAAAACUUGUAGCAAAGCUACGGAAAGAGUGUGGGGUUUCAAGCUUCAGUGGAGAGAGAACAAGACCAAGGGUCGGAUUGGGAGAAACUUAUGAUCUGACUCUUAAACCUUAAGGGAUAACUGCGGUUGGGGUCCUCGGAUCUAUUACAGAGAAGUCCCCGAAAUCUUACACAGAUACCCUCGGGUCAAGGAAAAAGAUACAGCCGAGUCCUCGGGCGAAGCAACUAAAGGUCGGCCAACAGACAGGGUCGGGCAAGACGGAAAAGGGGUCGGGCGAACAGAUAAGGUCGGGCGAAGCGGUGAGGGGUCGGCAGCUUACCUUCGGUUUAUAGGUGAAGCCUUUUGGGGUCGGGAAGGAGUAGACGUGGGCGGAAGGUCUCAAGCACUUAAGCACUAAGGCUUGGGUGGAGGCGAUGUCCGGAGGUGCUCUGGUGGCGGCGGAGCUUCUUGUGAGCAACAAGGAAGCUCUAGCACAGCGUGGAGGAGCAGGCGGCUGGGUGGAUUGGGGGAGGUACGGGUGUUGAGCGGAGAUGAGAGUUUCCCAAGAACUUAGGUGGCGGCGCUCAAGCACAAACAGAGGAACAAGGCGGCGAGGCAAUAAUGGCGAAGGGAACUCCAGUAGGGCUCUGGCAUUCCCUUUUAUAGCUGCGCGGAAGAGAAAGGGAGUUGGAGUAGCGCGAAGACUGGAAGAAAAGGGGGAGUGCGCUGCCAUGGCGGCGAUGGGCGGCGGAACAGGACUUCGAAGAUAGCGUCCUCAGCUAUUGGGCACUGGAGACAAGGUGGUGCAGGCGCGGUUUUGCCGGUGGUUGAGGUUUGGCGGAGGUGGGCGUCGUCGUGCGGCGGAUCUGAUGGGUGUGACAGGGGGAACGGCGCUAUAAGCGAGGUUGCACAGGUUAAAAGACAGGCGGGCUGCGGCUGCGCGGGCAAGCGCGAAGCAGCAGCUUGCCGCGUAAAGUUUUGGCAAGGCGGAAAAGACUGUCGCGGCCGGAGACGGGGUUGGCGACGGAGGAAUCGUCGCGUAGCGAGUUCGGAGCGGCGCGACUGUGGAGAGGCGGCGGAAAAGCCGGAAGGCAUCGGGCCUUGCAGCCGGGGAUCUGGCGAGAUGAUGAUGGGCGCGAGCUGCGAGGCAGUUUGGAUGCAGCAGGCGGCAAAGCUCUGCCACAGCGGCGUCGGAGCACCAAGGCGCGGCUGGCGAGGGCGCGAGCGAGACGGGGCGCUGCAGAAAGGGGUGCAGAGGGGUUUCCGCUGCGAUUGGGGAGGAGGGCGCGAGAAUCCAUUCGGUCGCGGCCGGCGAUUGGGCGAGGCGGCGGGCGGCGGCGAAGUUGAGCCACGCGGCGGGAGAGCUCCGAAGCGAUGCAGGCCGCUCGAGUGCGUCUGCCUCAGGAGAUCUGGGGAAAAAGAUUUGCGGGUCCACCCGUCAUUCCACCGGUCAUUCUCGGUUUCUCCUCUGCUUAGGAUCGAAGGGACACUGCCUUGGGGAACUCAGAAGGAACCGACGGGGUGGGUCGGGGUCUCAGGGGUCGGGACCCUGACCGGAGGCGGAGCGCUUAAGCUCAGGGGAGGGCUGAUACAGAGGGAUUUGGGGGACUCGGAUUAAGGUUAACUUGAAUGAUUUAACCGGGGUCGUUACAACAAUCCACUGAAAAAUAUACUUGAAUCACAGAGUCAUGUGAUCCACACGACAGCCUUUUUGCCCCCGAACCUUUCGUCUAUCAGAUUGUCCAAUCGGGCAAUUAUGCCACAGAAUUCAAUUGAUUUCCAGAUGCUUGACAUUACCGCUCCUACUCUUUUUUUAGGAACUAUUUUUUUUCAGAGUGGUACUUUGUUUUUUUCCAUCUCUUCUCCACUUACAUGUGAGUUCUUGGGCACUGGUCACCAUCAGGCAAGUGUUCUGCAACUCCAGCUAUCGAUUUCAGGUUGGAUCUAUAGAUGGCAACGGGCAUAUUACCCGCGGGUAGAGGGUUUAUAAACUCGCACCCGCGAGGCAAACCCUGUGCUCGCACCCGCGCCCGUGACCCGUGAUGGGUACAAACUUAAACCUGCGCCCGUCACCCGCGGGCACACUCGUACCUGCUGGCCAAAUGCCAGAUGGUGUCGGACUGUGUGGCGGCGGGAAGAUGGCCGGGCGUCGGGCGGAGCGGUGGCGGGGGAACCUCGCGGCGGUAAAGGGGGGAGGGGGGACCUCGCGGAGGGAUUCAAUGGCCGAACCGCCGAGGGCAGGCGGCGGCCGAUGAGGACCUCGCGGCGGGGGGAGCAAGGGCGGGGGGAGCGGUGGCGGCGUGCGGAGCGAGGGCUGGCGGGAGCGAGAUCCGCGAGCGACGCUGAGGACGGCCGGCAGGGACCUCGUGGCGGGAGGAGCAGUGGCGGCGGGGGGAGCAAGGGCGGGGGAGCGGUGGCAGGCUGGCGGCGGGGGAAGCGAGGGCCGACGGGAUUCGCGGACGUGGUGCGGUGUGGGGAAGGAGAGGAUUGGAGGAAUGAGGAUAAGGUCCUGGUGUGCGGCGGGAGCAGGAGGGACUCAUGGAACCCUAGAAAAAAAAUUUAUAUACUUGUGCUGGAGGCCCACAUGUCAGCCGGGUUCACGGGUUUGUGGGUAUGGGUAGGGUAUUUUUAUACCCGCUAAUUUUUUACUCGCGGUCACAAACUCAAACCCGCACCCGUGCCCGUGGGUACAAAAUGGCACCCGUAUCCUCGCCCUAACGGGUUUUACCCACGAGCACGCGGGUAAUUUGUACCCAUUGCCAUUUAUAGUUGGAUCGCACCUGAUUUCUAGACCUUCGCGGCAAUAGUUUUUAUGCCAAGUAGAAGCUCGCUGGAGACGAGAGCAGAGCUGCCAUGAGCAGGGUGGUAAAGGGCACUCUAAUUUAGCCUAACAAAUUUAAGAAUCGGACUUAAUAAGAACCGGGCUAUAAUAUUAUAUGAUUUUGCACUAAAAGUAGAUAGGACUGAGUUGGAUUGUGAAGGAGGUAUGAGGGUCAUGAUCCAUUACCACCCCUAAGCAUAAGCAACAAGGAUUUAGCUCACCGGUGGUGUCGUGGGAAAUGCAGUUAAACAGCGAGGGAAAAUUUAAACUGGGUGCUGACUACUUUUCGGGUGUAUGUUUUUUUUGCCAUCCGUCAGAGUGUAUGAACGGCUAAACAAAGUCUUUAAUGGAACAAUUAGCUUAGACAUGCAACAUGAUUAGGUUAAAUGAGCACUCCGACAAUGCGCAUAUGCCAUUCAAAUUUUAUUGGUGUCCUUUAAUUUUCUAAGUGUCUAAAUUAAGAUUAAGCAACAUAUACAUAUUUAAGCAACAUAUACAUACCAAGGCGUGGCGCCAUGCUAAAACUAUGGACCAUGGCGAAGACUAUGGCAUGACUCUAUUACGAAGUUGCGUCAUAAAGCUUGCAUGACAAAUAAAGUACAGAUUGUCAAUCUCGACUGCCUUCCAAAUCCCCACAAGCUGACCCUCCAAAUUUUCCAGGGGGCAUAUGCCCCUCCGGUGCCUAUAUAACUUCACUAAUAAUUAGUACUCCCUCCGUCCGCAAAAGCUUGCAAUUCUAGAGCUGGUGCUGUGUCCGAAAAAACUUGCAAUUUUAGACCUGUAAAAGCUAGCAGCGGUAGGACCCUCUGCUUUGUACCUUGAGGAAUCUGCUCGCAUCUCCCCAUCCAGCCAAUUAGCGAUCAUGUUAUGACAUGUUAUGAAAAAUCUAUCUGACUCCUAUGGGUACAUGCGUCUUUUUUCUCUUCACUAACUUCAUCUCGGGAACCUAUAAUCGCAAGCAUUUCCGGACAGAGGGAGUAAAAGUUUCUAAAAAAUGAUAUUCAUCAUCUGUGUUUACAAUCAACUAUUUUGCAAUCUAACAUGUUUGUAUCUUUUUGUCAAAUGUAUGAAUCAGGAUUAAGCAAUAUUGCACCAAAUUUAAUAUAGAUGCAUGUACCGAUCUAUACGUUGCAUUGCGGCGGUGUGGAUGCCUCCUUACGCGUGGCUUUUCAUGCAUGCUCCAAGCUCCCUCCUUGUUUCCUGAGCCGUGCUAAGUGCGAAGGGCUCCAUUGUCUGGCUCACAUUCACAUGAUCUAUCCAAAUGCACACUACGGAUGCAGAGAAUACCUUUCGGUCUCUGUUGUUGACUAUUCCCGAGCUUGCUUGCUUGCUUCUCCUCCCAAAUCCCCGUUGAUUUACCUUGUCUAGUGCGUAACCACGUGCUUGCCCGCCGCGCUAAUUAGCAAUUCUCCAAAUAUACAUGAGGGGCAUGUACCCCUCUUAUUCCUAUUGUAUAACUCCAAAGUUUCCAUAAAGAGAAAUGCUAUUGCUUGAUAUCAUUUGUGUUAUGUUUAGUCUGUUCAUGAUGAUCUAACCACUCUCAUCUUCACUACGAAGUAGUCUGAACCAGCAUUAAGCAUCAUUGUCCUCGCAUUCAGGGGCUGGGCACCUAUAUUUGUAUCCCUUUUACAAUAGAAAUAAUACAUCAGAUUCUUAACCAUUGGACUAAUUACUUUAAUUGUUUCAAUGCUCAGGGGCUACUCCAUAUGGAGUGCGUCUUGCACGCCCUUCAUGUGCUUCCCUUCAAUCUACAGAAUGCCAGACAUCCCAGGCUCGGCAGUCGCAUAGCCAUGCGUAUUUGAUCACACGCCUGUGGAAGCUUUAAUUUUUCUUCCUUUUUUGAGCACUACGCAGCCUCUCCAUCACUAUGACGACACCGCACCUUCAACCCAAGUUCAUUACAAGCUUCGUUGCGCAUCCGUCAGGUUCCUGUUCGACUCCACAUCGCUCGGGGGCUUGAGGGAUAAGGGUAUCCACGGGUCCCCAACGAUCAAGAUACUAGUCGGCCCUGGCAAGUGGCCACCCGACCGUGCCAUGUGGGUCAAGGCAUGAAGACGCGUGGAGCACAAGCCAGAAGGUCGAGCAAAUCAAUUCAGCCUGGAUAACACGGGAUACUUGUUGUAAACCAACUCAGAUUGCUUUCCAUGUAACAACCAAUUAGGAUUAGAUCCUAUCCGAUUAUAACCCUAGGUCGUCAGCCUAUAUAAGGCAGCUAGGGACGCCCCUCGAGGGCAGAUCGACUUUUCGCAUCCCAUACCAGCAGUAUAAUCCACCAGAACAUAGGACGUAGGUAUUACCCUCCGGAAGCCCAAAUGUCUAAAUCCUGUGCUCCUAUGUUACCAUUCGAAUUAUUGAUCUCACGAUCUCCCCCACCUACAAAUCUACCACCCGCAGGCCUACCAGCGUGAACAAGUGCUACUACGUAACUUCUUCGUCAAGAGAGUUGCGUAGCCACCUGACCAUGUAACCGGGCCCACUGUCAGCCAGAGUGCAAAACGAACACCGGCUAAUUGGCUGGCGUGCGACCUCCAAUGAGGUUACUCAAACUUGUAUAGAUAUAGGCAGGGCAGAUCACCAUUGCCACACUGAAUAUCAGUAUGACGAGGUCACGCAGGAAAUAUCAGUAGCAUGAAGUAACACAGAUCAACAAACAGUGAGGUAGACAAUUUCUACUGCUAAAUUUUAAGGGAUCAUCCAACAUGUAAACAAAUCCAACACAAGAAUUAAUAAGGACGCCUAAGGCACGCCGCUAGCACACAAACUUUAACUACACACACUCCUCUCUCUCGGACAAAGGUGUUACAAAACCGUAGGGUAGGGUACAACUAGUGUCGCGCAGCUACAGCGAAUGCAGUUAGACUCUCCUGCCUGAUUAUAGCCCAAUUAAACUGCCUGAUAUAGCCCAAUUAAACCUAGUGCGAGAUCUGCAGGCACACCUUUUACAAGUCAGGAACGAAUGAACCCAUCUAUCUUCCACCGCGAUGUCAGCAGAGAACUCCACUCCCGGUCAGUGUGCAACUCUGGCUGGACGUUUCAGGUUCAGGAUCCAGAGGCGGUCGUCUUC
rnacentral:lncRNA from 1 species